GCUCGACGCUGACCCUCCAAGCCGCCCACCGGGGACCGGGGCCGACUCCCCGCGGACGGUCGUGGUCAGCGUCAGGCUGCCCCUGAGCGGACGGAACAAAACCUCUAUGAGAUAAAUAGGGUGCCCUCCGCCCUCCUAAUGUGACCAGUCCCCUGGUCAGCCCUGGCGCCUGGACGUGCACAGACAGGGCCUCACCGAGUUUGCUUAGAGCCUCAUUUUUGCCGAAGACGGCUUUGAAUUCGCGAUCCUCCUUCCUCAGCCUCCCAGGUGGCUGGGAUCAUGCCUCCUCACCAUGCCUCGCAAGCCAUGAAUACUUUCUACAGUGCCCGGCACGCACUCCUAAGCAUCUUCCGCUUGGCCGCACCAUCCCACUCAGGAGAGAGCACCAUGUGGACCUCAGGAGCACCCUAACCACCUAUCCAUCCAGAAAAGAGCUCAUAGCUGCCUCUUGUGUGUGGUUCUUUGCUGUGUGAGGUAUUGAAAGCAGAGCACCAUCUCUCUGGGAAUUUCCAGUCUAAAAUAAGUUGCAGAAACAGACAGUGAGAUUGGCGGCAUGGCAAAUUGUACUCAUCCGUGUUUACAUGAAGGAUAAACAAGGGGGGGGAGGGGGGAGGGGCACAGUCCCUCCUGAAGCCACAUGUCGAGAGCCCCUGGCCUUCAAGGCUGAGCCACAACCAGAGGGAAGCCACCCUGACUUAGUCCAGGAACUUGCAAAAAUCUUAAACAAUGGCUUCUGGAGAUUAAGCAAUCUUUAAAUGCUUCCAUUUACAGGGUGACAGCACAGGGAGGUUGUCACCUGGGCUAAUCAACUUGUGAGUUGAGGAGAUAAGACUCUCCCAGAUAACAAGGGGCCAGAGAGUCUGCCCCCGGAGCAUUCUUGUGUCCCAAAGCUACUUGGAGGGCUCACCAUCUGGGGCAGAUACUACUACCACUGACGAGGGCUCUGAAUGCACACCUUGAGGACCCCGAUGGAUGAGGAGACAUCUUCUUCUGACACCACCCCCCACCCCACCUCCAGCAACCAGGAGGCCCAUCCACAGAGUCCUGCCCAUUCUCCUGCCCCCACCCACCACCUUCUCGUUAUUCCAGCUACGCCUUCCCAAACAGGAGGUACCCGGGUGAGAAGGAGAGGUUGAUGGGACGGAUGACAGAUACUUUGAGUUCCCAAACGGAAAAGGAAACCCAUUCAUUGAAGCAGAUUUGACGUCAGGAGUGAUAGGCUACUGCCCCAAGAGCAGGCUGCUCUCCCAGGCAGGAGGCUCAGGAGGUCCUGAACCCAGGGACCCUGCCUCGCUGUCUGUGAUUCACUCCCUGGACAGAAAGUCAUGUCAAGACCAGAGGAAGGCACCCCCGAACACUUGUUGUGAGCAGGGUAUCUCCCCAACACAGGGCUGCUAGCAAUUCCAGAGGAAGGAAGAUCAAGUGCCAGGGAACUCACCAGUGGGGGCAGCAUGCCACAGGAGGGGUAAGUUUUCGCUAACACCCAUCUGAGUGAGUUUGAUAGUAACUCUUCCCGCCAGGAUCAAGUUGUGGCACAACAGCUCUGAUGCGCCAUGAAAAUGUAGAAAAUGGCCUGUGUUUUCUCUUUCUCUUUAUUUCUUGUUCUACUGAGACCUCUCUAGCAUUGCUUGACCUUUCUGUGUUAUUAGACCAACUUGAUGAAUCCUUCUCUAAGCUUCUUUUUCAGCUGGGCACAAAUGCCCUCUUCUGUAAUCCCAGCAACUCUCAGGAGGCUGAGGCAGGAGGAUCACAGGUUCAAGGCCAGCAUCAGCAAAUUAACAAGGCCCUGAGUAAUUUAGCAAGACCCUAUCGCAAAAUACAACAUAAAAGGCUGGGGCUGCUGGGCACAGAAGUGCACGUUUAUAGUCCCAGCAGCUCAGGAGGCCGAGGCUAGGGAGGCACUUAGCAAUUCAGCGAGACUCUAUCCCUAAAUAAUAUAUAUAUAUAUAUAAAGGGUAGGGAUGUGGCUCAGUGCCCCUGGGUUCAAUCUCCAGUACCAAAAAAAAAAAAAAUGCCCACUAUUCCAAUGUGUAAUCAAGUGUAGGAAUCCCUGAUUUAUAGAACAAUGUUGCUUGUUAUUAGCACUUUUAAACUAAGAGACAUGUCUAUAUAUUUUUGUAGUACCAAGAUGAUGAGGGGGCAGGUGAGGUGAACAGGAGGGGCUUGGUAUUGGAGGUUGACCAGGUGUCUUUCUCUCCCCGCCCCCCAGUAUUGAGACUGAGCCCAAGACAUUGUGUCUGUGAGGCAAACACUCCACCACUGAGCUAUACCUCCAGCCCUUUUUUAUUCUGAUACAGGGUCUCACUAAGUUGCCUAGGCUGGCCUUGAUAGGUGCCUCUUUUUAAUAACCUAGUGUGCGAGUGCGUGUGCGUACAAACAUGCACAUGCACGCGCGCACACACACAGAGGGGCUGUAGCUCUGUGGUGAGCACGCGGCGCCUAGUACAUAUAAGGCACUGUCCCAUCUCCAGCACUGCCAAAAUAAUAAGGGGGAAGAAGAAGCAGAGCAGCCCCCAUCCCGCCCGCCUGCCUCCAGGAACAGAGCCCUCGAGGUCAAUGCAACCCAGGGCUCACCUGCUGUUGGGCACCACACAUGGGCUGAAGCCUGCCUGGGGCCACUGCCGCCUCUCCUCCAUCCCUCCCUUGGUCAGUGCUGGCCUGGCCUUCUUUCUUUAUUUAUUUAUUUAUAUUUUUGGU